rnacentral:rRNA from 1 species
GACGAACGCUGGCGGCGUGCUUAACACAUGCAAGUCGAGCGGUAAGGCCCUUUCGGGGUACGACGAGCGGCGAACGGGUGAGUAACACGUGGGUGACCUGCCCUCAGCUCUGGGAUAAGCCUGGGAAACCGGGUCGUAAUACUGGAUAUGACUCCAUGAUGCAUGUUGUGGGGUGGAAAGCCUUGUGCGGCUGGAGAUGGGCCCGCGGCCUAUCAGCUUGUUGGUGGGGUGAUGGCCUACCAAGGCGACGACGGGUAGCCGG